GGAGGAAAGUAGGGGAUCGAAAGACCUUAUGCUUUUGGAGCGGCCGAUGUCUGAUUAGCUAGUUGGUGAGGUAAAUGCUUACCAAGGCGACGAUCAGUAGUUGGUCUGAGAGGACGGCCAGCCACACUGGGACUGAGACACGGCCCAGACUCCUACGGGAGGAAGCAGUGGGGAAUUUUGGACAAUGGGCGCAAGCCUGAUCCAGCAAUGCCGUGUGAGUGAAGAAGGCCUUCGGGUUGUAAAGCUCUUUCAGUCGAGAAGAAAAGGUUGUGACUAAUACUUACAACCCAUGACGGUAUCGACAGAAGAAGCACCGGCUAACUACGUGCCAGCAGCCGCGGUAAUACGUAGGGUGCGAGCGUUAAUCGGAAUUACUGGGCGUAAAGGGUGCGCAGGCGGUUCUGUAAGUCAGAUGUGAAAUCCCCGGGCUUAACCUGGGAAUUGCGUUUGAAACUACAAAGCUAG
rnacentral:rRNA from 1 species